GACGAACGCUGGCGGCGUGCCUAAUACAUGCAAGUCGAACGAGAGCGACCGGUGCUUGCACUGGUCAAUCUAGUGGCGAACGGGUGAGUAACACGUGGGUAACCUGCCCAUCAGAGGGGGAUAACAUCCGGAAACGGAUGCUAAAACCGCAUAGGUCUUCGAACCGCAUGGUUUGAAGAGGAAAAGAGGCGCAAGCUUCUGCUGAUGGAUGGACCCGCGGUGCAUUAGCUAGUUGGUGAGGUAACGGCUCACCAAGGCCGUGAUGCAUAGCCGACCUGAGAGGGUGAUCGGCCACAUUGGGACUGAGACACGGCCCAAACUCCUACGGGAGGCAGCAGUAGGGAAUCUUCCGCAAUGGACGCAAGUCUGACGGAGCAACGCCGCGUGAGUGAAGAAGGUUUACGGAUCGUAAAACUCUGUUGUUAGAGAAGAACAAGUGCUAGAGUAACUGUUAGCGCCUUGACGGUAUCUAACCAGAAAGCCACGGCUAACUACGUG
rnacentral:rRNA from 1 species